AAACCAGCACCUCAAGUGGUCAGGAGGAUUAUGGGGCCUAAAGCAUCCGUAGCCUGUUCUAUAAGUCUCCGGUUAAAUCCACUAGCUCAACUAGUGGGCUGCCGAAAAUACUGUAGAACUAGGGAGUGGGAGAGGUAGACGGUAUUCGGUAGGAAGGGGUAAAAUCCUUUGAUCUAUUGAGGACCACCUGUGGCGAAGGCGGUCUACCAGAACACGUUCGACGGUGAGGGAUGAAAGCUGGGGGAGCAAACAGGAUUAGAUACCCUAGUAGUCC
rnacentral:rRNA from 1 species